rnacentral:rRNA from 1 species
AUUGAACGCUGGCGGCAUGCCUUACACAUGCAAGUCGAACGGUAACAGGUCUCCGGAUGCUGACGAGUGGCGAACGGGUGAGUAAUACAUCGGAACGUGCCCGAUCGUGGGGGAUAACGGAGCGAAAGCUUUGCUAAUACCGCAUACGAUCUACGGAUGAAAGCAGGGGACCGCAAGGCCUCGCGCGGACGGAGCGGCCGAUGGCAGAUUAGGUAGUUGGUGGGAUAAAAGCUUACCAAGCCGACGAUCUGUAGCUGGUCUGAGAGGACGACCAGCCACACUGGGACUGAGACACGGCCCAGACUCCUACGGGAGGCAGCAGUGGGGAAUUUUGGACAAUGGGCGAAAGCCUGAUCCAGCCAUGCCGCGUGCAGGAUAAAGGCCUUCGGGUUGUAAACUGCUUUUGUACGGAACGAAAAGCCUCUUUCUAAUAAAGAGAGGUCAUGACGGUACCGUAAGAAUAAGCACCGGCUAACUACGUGCCAGCCGCCGCGGUAAAAC